AGUCAUUUAUUACAGGUGCUCGAAAUAAUAUCAUUAUUUUUAAAGGAGACAAAUCAAUAAAUAAAGGAGAUAUAAAUGAUCAAAGUAAUACUGUUGUUCAAAAUCAAGGAAAUUUAAUAGUGAAAAAUAACAAUGAAAUUGCUUCAGCGAAUGGAUGUGUGAAAUGUUCCAAAUAUGCAAAAUAUGAUGCGUUGUUAGAAGAAAAUCAACAAUUAAAGAAGAGAAUAAAUGAAUUUAACAAAUCACAAGAACGAUUAAAUCAGCAGGCAAGCAUGUUUUGUGAGCUCAUGAAUACAAAAGAAGCUAUGUUAAAGAAGAAAUUAAAAAUGGUCAGAAAGAAAAAUAGA